AUAGACCUACCCUAUUACUUUGUCGGUCCAAGAAAUACAGGUUUGAAGGUUUUUAGGAAACCAUUUUCUUCUUUGUCUCAGCAGCCUCUGAUUGGUGCCUCCAUGUUCAUCUCUAUUGAGUUUGCAGUUGAGCUUUUCAUAUUCAGACAGUGAUCUUGAGCCAGGCGUAAUUGCAGCUCUCAGAUCCAAAACAUUGGUGCUCCUUAAGGUCUCCACAACACUCAGG